rnacentral:rRNA from 1 species
AGGUGUGGAUAGGGGAGAAAUUCCAAUCGAACCCGGAGAUAGCUGGUUCUCCUCGAAAUAGCUUUAGGGCUAGCCUCAUGCAAGUCUUACGGAGGUAGAGCACUGAAUUCCUAAGGGGGCGUCAAAGCUUACCAAGGGAUAUCAAACUCCGAAUGCCGUGUAGAUGGUGCAUGGGAGUCAGACUAUCCGAGAUAAGUUGGGUAGUCAAAAGGGAAAGAGCCCAGACCUACAGCUAAGGUCCCAAAAUGUGUGUUAAGUGGAAAAGGAUGUGGGAUUUCGAAGACAACUAGGAUGUUGGCUUAGAAGCAGCCAUCCAUUAAAAGAGUGCGUAAUAGCUCACUAGUCGAGAGGUCCUGCGCCGAAAAUGUCCGGGGCUGAAACACACUACCGAAGCUUGGGAAUUGACGAAUGUUAAUUGGUAGAGGAGCAUUCUUAACGGGGCGAAGCUGUACCGGAAGGAGCAGUGGACUGUUAAGAAGAGAGAAUGCCGGAAUGAGUAGCGAGAGGAAGGUGAGAAUCCUUCCGGCCGAAUAUCUAAGGUUUCCAGAGUAAAGCUGAUCUGCUCUGGGUAAGUCGGGGCCUAAGGCGAGGUCGAAAGACGUAGUCGAUGGAUAACAGGUAAAGAUUCCUGUACUGUAUCAUAACAGAACUGUGGGGACGCAGACAGAGAGCAUAAGCCGGGAAUGGAAAAACCGGUACAAGCGAGGUAGGAGUGCAUCAGGCAAAUCCGGUGCACAAUCUGAAGACGUGAUGUGGGGCGUAAAGCCGGAAGUAUGUGAGCUGGCUGCCAAGAAAAGCCGCUAUUGUUUAUGAUAUACCCGUACCGUAAACCGACACAGGUGGAUGAGGAGAGAAUCCUAAGGCCGACGGGAGAAGCAUUGUUAAGGAACUCGGCAAAAUGACUCCGUAACUUCGGGAGAAGGAGUGCCAUGUAAAAGUGGCCGCAGAGAAUUGGCCCAAGCAACUGUUUAGCAAAAACACAGGUCUAUGCAAAACCGAAAGGUGAGGUAUAUGGGCUGACGCCUGCCCGGUGCUGGAAGGUUAAGGGGAGAGGUUAGUCGUAAGGCGAAGCUUUGAACUUAAGCCCCAGUAAACGGCGGCCGUAACUAUAACGGUCCUAAGGUAGCGAAAUUCCUUGUCGGGUAAGUUCC